rnacentral:rRNA from 1 species
UACGUAGGGUGCAAGCGUUGUCCGGAAUCAUUGGGCGUAAAGCGCGCGUAGGUGGCUUCGUAAGUCCGUUGUGAAAGUCAAAGGCUCAACCUUUGAAAGCCGAUGGAUACUGCGGAGCUAGAGUACGGAAGAGGCGAGUGGAAUUCCUGGUGUAGCGGUGGAAUGCGCAGAUAUCAGGAGGAACACCAAUAGCGAAGGCAGCUCGCUGGGACGUUACUGACGCUGAGGGCACGAAAGCGUGGGGAGCAAACAGG